AUUUCCACAAGCAAACUUCAGGUCUUUUUCAAGGCCCAUUGAUAUGACCGAGCAAGCACCUGCCCUCGCUGACCUCUAAAGGUUAACACAUACUAAAGAGCAAUGCUGUCUGAGGAGCAGAGGAACUCUGGAAAACUCUGCUGUCUGAAAUGAAAGCAAGGCACUCUCCACUGACAGCUGGUGGAUUCCUGACUUCCGCCCACAGGAGGCCUGUUCACGCUGAGAGAGCUCUUCCCCAAGGGAGGAAUCACCUGCUUUAAUUCUUGCUGUCCUCUUCUGAGCUAGUUCGGUCAUCCACUCUGUAUACACUUGUGUGUCCACAUGAAGACAAAAAAAGAGAGUUGAAUUGAGAGAUGGCGUGGGAGCCUCCCAAGGCUCUCAUAGUUGCAAUGACUAUGGAAGACAGAAGAACACUGGCUAUCAUCUUUAUUUUCAGCACUAAGUGUCUGGGCCUAUCACUAAAAAUCUUCAUUGCUUCCAAC